rnacentral:misc_RNA from 1 species
UAGCUCUUUAACAAUUUGGAAAGCUGACAAAACAACAAUUUAUUGUCGUUUGUAAAGUUCUCAAUGUAUUCCUGAAUGGAAUACACCAACAAACACAUUCAAGUGUGCUUGGUAUCGAAGCUUACUGAUUCAGUAAGUCUUCAAAUUGAGUCCGGCAAAAUCAGUCACACACUCAUGAAAAAUAAAUGUGUGACACCUAGGUUGUUUAACAGCAACCCAAAACUCCUUCGGGUUGUAUG